CAGGUGAGGAACCAGGCCCUGGGAGAAGAAAAGCGAGGUGCUCUAGGUCACAGUGCCAGCCAGAUCAGGUCUUUUUACUCCUGGGACCAAGUCAGACAGAUGGUCUUGUCUCCAUUUUGGGAGCUGGGCUCCAGAGAGAAAAGAACUCCAACUCCAAAUACCUGCGUAAACAGCCAGUAGUCUGGUUUGAAAAAAAAAAAAAAGAAGUCGUUUGAACCAAAAUGGAAACCCAUUUCAGCCACUAAAAUCCUGAGAAAAGAAGCUCUGAUGUCAAGAGCCACAGUCCUACCAGGCCAGCAGCAUAUACUCCUGUGGAAGGAUGAUGGAGUCAUGGAAUGAAUCUUGGUGGCUUCAAAGUAUAACCUUCCGCAGAGUGCACAACCAUGCCUGCACCCGCAGAAGAGAAAAAAUCAAUCACACGCGGGAAGAGCCCUCCUCCCACUCUUUGCAAUGCUUUUUGUCCCCAACUCUAUCCCCUGCCCAUACUUCGCUCAUUACCCCCAGGCCAUUUGGUUUCCAUUUCCAUGUUUUGAGCCAAAUGGCGUUCUUGCAAACCUUACCAGU
rnacentral:lncRNA from 1 species